rnacentral:tRNA from 1 species
GCUGGAAGCGCAGCGGCUUCAUCAGGGCGGUCUCCAGCGCCUCCGGCCCGCCCUGCGGGCCGAUCUGGCGUGCCACCCGCAAUUCCGGCC